UGUUGCUUGCAAGGGCGUAUGGUGGAUGCCUUGGCAGACAGGACCGAUGAAGGACGUUUGAGGCUGCGAUAUGCCUCGGGGAGCCGCCAACAGGGCUUUGAUCCGAGGAUUUCCGAAUGGGGGAACCCACCGACCGUCAUGGGUCGGUACCGGCUUCGGCCGGGGGGUACGCAGGGAAGUGAAACAUCUCAGUACCUGCAGGAAAGGAUAUUCCGUGAGUAGUGGCGAGCGAAAGCGGAUGAUGGCCAAACCUUGCGCGUGUGAUACCCGUCGGGGGUUGCGCGCGGGGUGUUGCGGGAUCGCGUGCGCCGGCUCCGACGGGCCGGCCGGCAGUUGCAGAAAACCAUGUGUCAGGGGAACCGGGUUGAAUACCGGGCCGCAGAGGGUGAGGGCCCCGUACCUGAACGCGCAUGGUCUGCCGAUCGCGUCUCCCAAGUAGCACGGGUCCCGUGGAACCCCGUGCGAAUCCGCCCAGACCGUUGGGUAAGCCUGAAUAUUCCUGUCUGACCGAUAGCGAACGAGUACCGUGAGGGAAAGGUGAAAAGUACCCCGGGAGGGGAGUGAAACAGUCUCUGAAACCGUGCGCCUACAAUCCGUCGGAGCCCUUUUGUGGGGUGACGGCGUGCCUAUCGAAAAAUGAGUCUGCGAGUCAGUGGCAUGUGGCGAGCAUAACCCGUGUGGGGUAUGCGUAGCGAAGGCGAGUCUUAAAAGGCGUUUGAGUCGCGUGUCCUGGACCCGAAGCGGGAUGAUCUAGCCCUGAGCAGGUUGAAGCGCGGGUAAGACCGCGUGGAGGACCGAACCCACCUGGGUUGAAAACCGGGGGGAUGACUUGGGGCUAGGGGUGAAAGGCCAAUCAAAUUCCGUGAUAGCUGGUUCUCUCCGAAAUGCAUUUGGGUGCAGCGUCGGGUCAUUACGUCCCGGGGGUAGAGCUACUGGAUGCUUGCGGGCCCGUAUCGGGUACCAACAGCAACCAAACUCCGAAUACCGGUGACGCGUAUCCCGGCAGUGAGUCGGCGGGGGAUAAGCUUCGUCGUCGAAAGGGAAACAGCCCAGACCGUCGUCUAAGGUCCCGAAGCGUGUGCUAAGUGGGAAAGGAUGUGGAGUCGCAUAGACAGCCAGGAGGUUGGCUCAGAAGCAGCCACCCUUGAAAGAGUGCGUAACAGCUCACUGGUCUAGUGGUUCCGCGCCGACAAUGUAGCGGGGCUCAAGCACACCACCGAAGACGCGGCAGUAUUUUGUACUGGGUAGGAGAGCGUCCCAUGAGGGGCGAAGCGGCCGUGUGAACGCGCCGUGGACUUCAUGGGAGUGAGAAUGCAGACAUGAG
rnacentral:rRNA from 1 species